AACAAAAGAAGACCCAAAGCAGAGAAGCCAGCUGCCCUGUAGCUGCCAAUUUCCUCUCAAAAAACCUGCCAAAGCAUUUCAGAGCCUGGCCCAUUCUAGCCCAUAGCUGAGCCCAGAGGGAGUUGGUUCUUGGUUUAAAUGAUGGCAAAGUGGGAAACAGCUCUGACAGACAAACAUGACAACCUGCCCCAUCUGGAUCAGCACUUCUCACAGGCAUUUUAGUCACCGUAACCAUCUCUUUCCACAUCCUGAAGGAGCCAACUCAAAGACAGCAGAGAGGCCUUGCAAAACAGAGCUGAGAUGCAGUUUGAGUGAACUCAUUUUCAUCUGCCUCUGAACUGCAGCCACUACCUACUCCAGACUUUUCCGAGAGUAACAGUCUAUGAAGAGAGAAGGAAUGCCAGGAGGCUUAAGGAAUUGGGAAAGAAAGGUUGGGGAUUCUUGAAAGAACUUCAGUUCAGAAUUGCUUCCAAGCUCUGCCUAGCUCUGGUAAUGUUUUCCUUAUUUGCCUGUGGAAGUGAGAAAAGCUGAAGGCAGAUUUCCUGUCCUAAGGAAGCUAGCUCCAAGACACAGACUUUUCUGCUCAGACAUCAGCUAAAAUUAAACUGUACAUGUUACAGCAUGGAUGAACUUUGAAAAUAUUAUGCUCAGGGAAAGAAGUCAGACACAGAAGGCCACAUUGUGUGAUUCCAUCUAUCUGGAAUGUCGAGAAUAGGCAAAUCCACAGACAGAAGAUAGAUGAGGGGUUAGCAGGGAGCUGGGGGAUGAGGGUAAUGAUGAGUGACCACUAAUGAGUACAGUUUCUUCGGGGGGUAAUGAAAAUAUUCUGGAACUAGACAGUAAUGACAGUUGGUGAGUAUGCCCCAAACCACUGAAUUGUACACUUUAAAUGGUACCACUUUAUAGUAUGAGAAUUAUAUUGUAAUAUUUUUUAAGGGGGGGGGGGACCAAACUGCAGUCAGUACCUUGACCUCAGAGAGGAGGCUCCUGCUCUUUAGAGCAGUGGUCCUUCAAACACGGUCCCCAGACCAACAGGAUCAGCAUCACUGAGAAAUUACCAGAAAUGCAAAUACGCAGGCUCCAUCCCAGACCCACACAAUUAGAUGGGGCCCUAUAAUCUAUGCUUUGAGAAGCCCUCCGGGUGAACAUCAUGUAUGUUCUCAAGAACCAUUACUUUUCUCCUCUUUUUCUUUUUCAUGACCUUUUAAAAAUGUAAAAACCAUUCAGUUCCCAGGCACACCAAAACAGAUAAUAGGAGUUCCCACUGUGGUUCAGCAGAAAUGAACCUGACUAGUGUCCAUGAUGUGGGUUCAAUCCCUGGCCCGGCUUAGUGGGUUGAGGAUCCAGUGCUGCCAUGAGCUAUGGUGUAAGCCAGAACUGGCGUUGCUGUGCCUGUGGCGUAGGCCAGCAGCUGUAGCUCCGAUACUUAGACCCCCAGCCUGGAAACUUCCAUGUGCCGCACCUUCGGCCCUACAAUAAAUAAAUAAAUAAAUUUAAAAAACAGGUAACAGGGAGUUCCUGUCGUGGUGCAGUGGUUAACGAAUCCGACUAGGAACCAUCAGGUUGCGGGUUCGAUCCCUGCCCUUGCUCAGUGGGUUAAGGAUCUGGUGUUGCCGUGAGCUGUGGUGUAGGUUGCAGACGCAGCUCGGAUCCCACAUUGCUGUGGCUCUGGCGGAGGCUGGCGGCUACAGCUCCAAUUCGACCCCUAGCCUGGGAACCUCCAUUUGCCGUGGGAGAGGCCCAAGAAAUGGC
rnacentral:lncRNA from 1 species